CUCAGCACACCUCUGGUUAAAAAGUUGAAGUUAUUAAGUGCUUGACUUUUUCCUAUUUUUAAUUAUCAAAACAUUUGGGGCUUUCUAUCUAUCUUUCUAGCAAACCUAUUUCAGUCCAACAUUUCUCUCAAACCACUUCUCUCUGCUUGACUCUAAUUUUCACAUAUGUAUAUAAUAGCCAGUUACUUCAGAGGGUUUGUGGUCCAUCUUUUUAAACUUUGGGUUAGUAAGAGUUCAUGCUCUUUUCUGAUCCAGAGAUUUUUCUCUCCUACGGGUACAUACAUGCUCUCUUCAGAGACGGAAGCACACACCCGCCCAUUCUAACCAAUAAGAGGGAGGCUUCUGCAUUCUGGAAUGAGAGCAAGGUCAUCAACAGCAUGGAUCUUUUGUUUUUCCUUUAUUUCACAAUUUGUUGUCACUAUUCUUUAGUGAAAUAUUAUGUCCUAUGAAAAUUUGGAACCGGUAAGUUUGUAGAAAAACAGAUAUUAUAAAGAGAUGUAUAGACCAGUGAAUGCUUAUUUUUCCUUUGUAAUAUAAUUGUGAUUAUAAAGUCUUACAAAUACUGUAGGAAAUGAUUUUCAAACACUUAAUUUUAUUUUUAACAAUACCUUCUACUAUGGAUUGAGAAAUAAAAUAUUACUCCUAUGAUUUGUUACCCUUACCCUUCAUCAGAAAUUUUACCUUUUUUUAAUAUUUAUUUGAACGUUACCAGGUUCAAAUAAACACAUUCUUCUUCAUUGCAUGUGUUCUUUUGAUCAUAUAAUAAAGAGAAGUUAACUUUUAAUGUUAAUCAGUGUUAUAUGAGAAAUACUUUAAAAUGUUAAUACUGCGGGUUGGGGAUUUAGCUCAGUGGUAGAGCGCUUGCCUAGCAGGACAAGGCCCUGGGUUCAGUCUCCAGCUCUGAAAAAAAAAUGUAAAUACUGGGACAGUGAAAUGACACAGAGGGUAAAGGUACUUGCUUCCAAGUCUGAGGACCUGAAUCCACUUGGUGGAAAGAAAAUCUGCCUUCUGCAUGCUACCCACUGACCUCUGUACCCAUACCUGGAAUGCAUGACCACCCUAUACCCCCUAAAAUAAUAAAUGAAAAAAGAAGUAAAGAUUAAUAUUUGAAUACCUUUUGGUAAUCUGUAGAGGAUCAUCAAGGACUGGGCCAUUAACAAAUGUUUCCUUAUCAAAAAGUCUCUAUGACAUAGUUUGCCAGUUGUUCCAUAAGAAAGUAUUCAUUAAUGUGCAAAAAACAUGAUUCUCUCCUUGAGAACACACAUGGAUACUCUCUGAUAGUGUAACAGUUGAAUUCUUUUCAAGUUUUGACAUCACGUUCCAGGCGAUAAUGAAUUUAUCUGAAGAUAAGUAAGUGUGAUUAAAUUCUCAAUAUUUAUUUAUGUUUGUAAACCAGUUACUUUAUCAAGACCACUGGCAAAAUGCCACAGUAUUUUUUAGAUCAAGGUUUAGUUAAAAUUUUGAAGCACUAUCAUAAAUAUAUGUCAGCAAUUUUAAAAACAAAUAUAUGUUCAUGUUUUUUUUGUUUUUAAUAUUAUUGGGACUAAACCCAAAGCCUUAUUUAUGUAUACCACCAAUGUGCUCUGCUACUGAGAUAUAUAUCCAAUACUUGGAACAGAUAUCUUUUUAAAGAAUUAGAAAAUGAUUUUGAUAUGUUUCUUUAUACAUAAUUAUCUAAUUAUGCAACCAUUGACGUAAAAGCUAUACACAUGCUAUAAGUAGUAUCAUUUGAUUUUUUUAUGGCUUCAAAUUAGUAUGUAGCUUAUGAGGUACAAUGUCUACUAGUUAAUGUUGUAUGUUUAAGAGUAGAAUUAACAUAUACAUUAACGCAAGUAGGUAGCCGCUUACAAGAUAAUACAUGCUUAUCAUUUAAAAUUCAUCUGCUGCUCAUAAAGUCAAUGACUUUUCUGUACACAUUUUAAUUGUUCCCUGUGUUACAUAAAGAGCCUUAAAGGGAUUGUUGAAACCUUUUUGGUAUGUAUAUAAUUCAAUUAGUUUUAAUAUCAAUCCCUUUACUAUAUAAACAGUCUAACAGCACUGAGUUGAAAGGACAGUCAGAUAUUCAAAGCCGUGAUCAACUUUAAACACUUACUUUCUGAUCCUAGCAAGAAAGAGUAGAAGUUCAUAAAGUUGGUACUAUACAGAGCCAACCCUGACAAAGAACCUGUCCUUUCCAAUAACUGAAGGAAUAUUAACUUACUAGUUUUUCCUGCUCUGUUAAACCAAAAGAUUUUUAAAAUUUCAAAAGGACUUCUGAAAAUUUCCCAGGAUCAUCUUGUUUAGCAAAAUAAUGUCUUCCCUCUUUAGCAAUUAGUCCUCUUAUUUUGCCAUAUACAAAAAGAUUAAUACCUUCAUUUGAACCGAGCACAGAUAACAUCUUCAUAAUAUCUUGUUCCAAGCCACAUGCAAUUGGCAAGUGCACUUGAGAAUCUUGUGUCUGGUGUGGGGUGCAAAAUGGAGCUACUUCAGGAGUAGAGUGUAAGACAGAAUCAAGAGUCCCAACCAAAAGACCUGUAAGUCCCCCUCUGCCUUCCUCCUGUAGCCUCCAUGGCAAGACAAAGUACUCCUUGGAUCUUUCCAUCAGCCACAGUUUCAGUGUGUUUUUUCAAAAGCACUUCCUAGGGCUUCAGCCACUUCUCAAAGAACUUUGUGCUGGCUCAGGAGCAGUGACAUAAUUGUGCCCCACUUCCAACCCCGGCCUGUCUUUACACCUCUACUUCUCCUCCCACCAAAUCUUUCCUUGGUGGACGCACCUUCGGAGGUUUUCCACACUUUCCCCAACUGUGCCUUCUCUCCCACGUAGGAUUGUAUAUGUUUCUACGUGGAACGUAUUUUUCUCUCUUAUUUUGCAGUCAGGAAUGCAUUAUUAGUUUAAGUUCAUCCAUCCUUAAAUUAGUUGAAAAGUUUUCCUUCCCUUGGUUUAGAUUGUUUAUAGAUACUGGCAAUCAUUUAUAACAAGCCUGACUUUUCCACCUUCAUUUGAGGCAAGGUCUCUUGCUUGCUGUUAUGCAUGCCUGGGUAUCUGACUCAUAAGCCUACACUGAUGCUCCACCUCCGAUUCCACUGUAGGUGCAGUGUGAUUCAAACUGUGGUCCUCAUGCAUAUGUCCUCAUGUGGUCCUCAUGCAAUAGCAAAGAGUGCUAUUGGAUAUGUUAUAUAAUUGUGUUUGUUUUUACUUAUAAACAUGUAUAGAUACAUUUUUCUCUUUAUAUCUGUGUUCUCUAAAGCAUUUUCACUCAAAAACUGCAAAUGGCUCUGUACUUACUAGACCUUCCUUGUUUCUGAGGAAGCAUAUUGUCUUCUCUUCUUUAGCAUCUAUUUUGAAAGCUUAUUUGUACAAAUGGAAACUCAUCCUUGCAGUCUUAAUAAAUCAUCCUUCAAAUCUAUGUCUAUUUAUCUCAUUAUUCCACAUUUUAUGUAUUCACUUUAAGGUAGUAAAAAUUUCUGUGGUGAUUAUAAUACUUCAUUUUUCACUUAGGCUAUUAUAAUUAAUUACCACUGUCAAAAAUAAAAUUGGAUCAAAUUUCUUAAAAGUUAAAGUACAUUAUGGAAAGUGAAGUUCAUAAUAAUACCAUGGUAAUACUAUGUAUUGUUGUAAAGCAGUAAGAAAAUAGGUUUUUAAGUGCUCUAAUCAUAAAAAGGCCAACUAUGUGCAGUGAUGUAUUGCCAAUUAGCUUGACAGCUAUUGCACUUUAGCUAUCUCUCUGUCUGUCUGUCUGUCUGACUGUCUGUCUGUCUGUCUAUCUAUCCCCCGUGUGUGUGUGUGUGUGUGUUUCAUACAUCCUGCUAUUCAGAUGUAUGCCACCUUAAAUAUCAAUUUUAAAAGAAAUGGAAACAAUUGUACCAGGAACAAAAAUUCACAAAUACAAAGAACUCGACCCAGAGUGGCUAUAGGAAUAGGAGUUUUACAUCAUGGUCUCGGGGGCUGGAGUCUAUAUUCUUUUGAAUAAACAUAUCAUGACUCUACAUAAAUAUAAAUAGCAUAUAAUAUGUUAUAGAUAUUUCAUAUAUAUCACUAUAAAGAUCUUUUUUCAAAGUUGCAAGAUUUAUUAAUCCUUAUAUAGAUAUGAAUAUGCAUAUAGUUAGAGAUCUUGAGUGCUUUCCUUAGGGUCUUUCCAAAAUUUUAUUAGCUCAUUGUAAAUUGCAGUUUCCACACAGAUCUGUCUCUAAUGCUCUAACCUAUCUUUGUUUUGCUACCUCAUAUACACCAACUGUCUCUUUUCCAACAUGUACUCCCAGUCUCUAAUGACUAACAUUCAAUUUCCUUCUUUCAGACCAACAUUUUAAUCUUCCAUGUGUGAGAAUAUGUGACAUUUGUGUUCCUGUGCUAAGCCAGCUUGGAAAAUAAACAUGAAAUAGUUAUUUGCAUUUGACUAAUUGUUUUUGAAGGCUUUUCCAAGAUGGUUUAAAGUGAGCAUCUAUCUAGUUUUUGGAGAAGUAGUUUAAUUUAUUAUCAUCAGAGGCAUUUGUAAAAGGUAAGCUAAGCUGACUUUGAUUAUGAAGAUUGCCUAAUUGAUUAUUAGGCUACUUCUGGAAAAUUCAAACAAAUAUACAAAGUGUAAUUUAUGAUACAUGAUAGUGCUUUCAAAGAGAAUUUGAAACUAAAAAACAAAACAAAACAAAACAAAAAAAAACCCAAAACAAUAAUUCGGAUUCAAAGUCAGGUAGCAGAAAUAAGAAUAAAUAAAUAGAAGAUGAGGGAAGAUGCAAGAAAAAUACAUACAGCUCAGAUUGGUAGAAUCAUGGUCCAAAGUACUUUCAAGAACAUUUCCUGAGUCUACUAAUAUCCAUCCAAAGUCCAUGUGUAUUUCCUAUUAUCUAUUGUCUCAUUAUUGUGCAUCUUUACUUCUUUAUCCAUGCCCUCGUUCUUUUAAUCUCAUCUAGGAUAGAGGAGGGAGUGCAUUCUGCAUUCUGCUAAUAUUCAACACAAAUGGAACAUUCCAGGCAUAAAUUCAAAGCUCUGCAGAUUGCCACUAACCACACGCUCCCACAAAAAGGACCCCAUCACUUUAAUGAGGCAACAAACUAAGGAGUAUUCUUCAUAUGAAAACAAAAGGGACAAGAAAGACAUAUAGGAAGAAUGAUUUGGAGAUUGGGAGUGUCCUCACAGUAACUAACACAUCUCCCUCACACUGCUGUUUACAGCUGUACUUCUCCAAGGUUAUAGCAUUUACAAGAAAUAGUGUUAUUUCUCCAAAUAGCACAGCAUCUAUCUAAUACAAAUCAUCAGCCCUACUGAUUUUUUUCUUCAGUGUGAUUGAAAAUUAGAUGGAAAUGUACUAAGAACUUGUCCAUGGGAGGAAGGAAAUAAGAAAUACAGAUACUCAUAUGUCCUCUAAGGGAGCAUACGUUAUGGAAAGUAAAUGAAGGACAGGAUGACAUGUAAGUGCUUGGUGGUUAUUUCUUAGAGAUAGGGGAUCCUAGGAGAAGAGAUUAAAAUUUGUGUCUGUGUUAAAAAGUGCCUCCUGGCAUACAGAAACUUAGAACACAUGGGAAGUAUGAGUAAGGAUGGAGAAAAUGGGGCAGAAAUGAUAAUGUAGAAAUGGGGCAAGAGUUAUGACAGCUGGUAUUAGAGGGCCAUUUUAUUAGAUUGGGUAGAAUUCACUAGAGAGUGAAGGAUACAAUUAAUUAAUCAGGGACCAUUUCUAAUAGAAGUUUUAAUUGAGUUAAAGCUGUU